rnacentral:rRNA from 1 species
AUUGAACGCUGGCGGCAGGCCUAACACAUGCAAGUCGAACGCUGUAGCAAUACAGAGUGGCAGACGGGUGAGUAACGCGUGGGAACAUGCCCUUCGGUUCGGAAUAACUCAGGGAAACUCGAGCUAAUGCCGGAUACGCCCUUAGGGGGAAAGAUUUAUUGCCGAAGGAUUGGCCCGCGUCCGAUUAGCUUGUUGGUGAGGUAACGGCUCACCAAGGCGACGAUCGGUAGCUGGUCUGAGAGGAUGAUAAGCCACACUGGGACUGAGACACGGCCCAGACUCCUACGGGAGGCAGGAGUGGGGAGUAGUGGACAAUGGGCGCAAGCCUGAUCCAGCCAUGCCGCGUGAGUGAUGAAGGCCCUAGGGUUGUAAAGCUCUUUCGCCAGGGACGAUAAUGACGGUACCUGGAUAAGAAGCCCCGGCUAACUUCGUGCCAGCCGCCGCCGUAAAAC